GAUGAACGCUGGCGGCGUGCCUAAUACAUGCAAGUCGAGCGAACGGACGAGAAGCUUGCUUUUCUGAUGUUAGCGGCGGACGGGUGGGUAACACGUGGAUAACCUACCUAUAAGACUGGGAUAACUUCGGGAAACCGGAGCUAAUACCGGAUAAUAUUUUGAACCGCAUGGUUCAAAAGUGAAAGACGGUCUUGCUGUCACUUAUAGAUGGAUCCGCGCUGCAUUAGCUAGUUGGUAAGGUAACGGCUUACCAAGGCAACGAUGCAUAGCCGACCUGAGAGGGUGAUCGGCCACACUGGAACUGAGACACGGUCCAGACUCCUACGGGAGGCAGCAGUAGGGAAUCUUCCGCAAUGGGCGAAAGCCUGACGGAGCAACGCCGCGUGAGUGAUGAAGGUCUUCGGAUCGUAAAACUCUGUUAUUAGGGAAGAACAUAUGUGUAAGUAACUGUGCACAUCUUGACGGUACCUAAUCAGAAAGCCACGGCUAACUACGUGCCAGCAGCCGCGGUAAUACGUGGGUGGCAAGCGUUAUCCGGAAUUAUUGGGCGUAAAGCGCGCGUAGGCGGUUUUUUAAGUCUGAUGUGAAAGCCCACGGCUCAACCGUGGAGGGUCAUUGGAAACUGGAAAACUUGAGUGCAGAAGAGGAAAGUGGAAUUCCAUGUGUAGCGGUGAAAUGCGCAGAGAUGUGGAGGAACACCAGUGGCGAAGGCGACUUUCUGGUCUGUAACUGACGCUGAUGUGCGAAAGCGUGGGGAUCAAACAGGAUUAGAUACCCUGGUAGUCCACGCCGUAAACGAUGAGUGCUAAGUGUUAGGGGGUUUCCGCCCCUUAGUGCUGCAGCUAACGCAUUAAGCACUCCGCCUGGGGAGUACGACCGCAAGGUUGAAACUCAAAGGAAUUGACGGGGGCCCGCACAAGCGGUGGAGCAUGUGGUUUAAUUCGAAGCAACGCGAAGAACCUUACCAAAUCUUGACAUCCUUUGACAACUCUAGAGAUAGAGCCUUCCCCUUCGGGGGACAAAGUGACAGGUGGUGCAUGGUCGUCGUCAGCUCGUGUCGUGAGAUGUUGGGUUAAGUCCCGCAACGAGCGCAACCCUUAAGCUUAGUUGCCAUCAUUAAGUUGGGCACUCUAAGUUGACUGCCGGUGUCAAACCGGAGGAAGGUGGGGAUGACGUCAAAUCAUCAUGCCCCUUAUGAUUUGGGCUACACACGUGCUACAAUGGACAAUACAAAGGGCAGCGAAACCGCGAGGUCAAGCAAAUCCCAUAAAGUUGUUCUCAGUUCGGAUUGUAGUCUGCAACUCGACUACAUGAAGCUGGAAUCGCUAGUAAUCGUAGAUCAGCAUGCUACGGUGAAUACGUUCCCGGGUCU
rnacentral:rRNA from 1 species